rnacentral:sRNA from 1 species
UCCCUUUCUCGUCAUUGAAUGGAAUAAAAUAUAAAUGCUGAAACUAAAAAUUAUAUUAUAUUAGAUGAUGUUUGUUAGAAAAUAAUUGGCCCAUCCAAUAGAGUGGGUACACAUUCAUCAAAGGACUAUAUC